rnacentral:rRNA from 1 species
AGCGAACGCUGGCGGCAGGCCUAACACAUGCAAGUCGAACGAACUCUUCGGAGUUAGUGGCGGACGGGUGAGUAACACGUGGGAACGUGCCUUUUGGCUCGGAAUAACUCAGGGAAACUUGUGCUAAUACCGAAUGUGCCCCUCGGGGGAAAGAUUUAUCGCCAUUGGAGCGGCCCGCGUCUGAUUAGCUAGUUGGUGAGGUAACGGCGGACCAAGGCGACGAUCAGUAGCUGGUCUGAGAGGAUGACCAGCCACACUGGGACUGAGACACGGCCCAGACUCCUACGGGAGGCAGCAGUGGGGAAUCUUGCGCAAUGGGCGAAAGGCUGACGCAGCCAUGCCGGGUGAAUGAUGAAGGUCUUAGGAUUGUAAAGUUCUUUAACCGGGGACGAUAAUGACGGUACCCGGAGAAGAAGCCCCGGCUAACUUCGUG